UACGGAGGGUGCGAGCGUUGUCCGGAUUUAUUGGGCGUAAAGAGCUCGUAGGCGGCUUGUUACGUCGUUCGUGAAAACUUGGGGCUCAACCCCAAGCUUGCGGUCGAUACGGGCAGGCUAGAGUUCGGUAGGGGAGACUGGAAUUCCUGGUGUAGCGGUGAAAUGCGCAGAUAUCAGGAGGAACACCGGUGGCGAAGGCGGGUCUCUGGGCCGAUACUGACGCUGAGGAGCGAAAGCGUGGGGAGCGAACAGG
rnacentral:rRNA from 1 species